rnacentral:rRNA from 1 species
UACGUAGGGUGCAAGCGUUAAUCGGAAUUACUGGGCGUAAAGCGUGCGCAGGCGGUUAUGCAAGACAGAGGUGAAAUCCCCGGGCUCAACCUAGGAACUGCCUUUGUGACUGCAUAGCUAGAGUACGGUAGAGGGGGAUGGAAUUCCGCGUGUAGCAGUGAAAUGCGUAGAUAUGCGGAGGAACACCGAUGGCGAAGGCAAUCCCCUGGACCUGUACUGACGCUCAUGCACGAAAGCGUGGGGAGCAAACAGG